CCUGUUACAAACUCUCCCUAUAGCCUUACCCAAAACCUUCUUCGCCACCCUAAGACGCACCUUCAGCACAUUCAUAUGGGCUCACAAACACCCCAGACUAUCACACAAACUACUAACGACACAUAAGCUCUCUGGAGGUCUUGGUUUACCCAACAUAGAGAACUACCACAAAGCCAUAGUCCUUGCGCGGAUCUACGAGUGGUCGAUACCCAAUAACCCCAAACAAUGGGUUCAACUCGAAGCACAC